rnacentral:misc_RNA from 1 species
GAUGAAGAACGCAGCGAAAUGCGAUAUGUAGUGUGAAUUGCAGAAUUCAGUGAAUCAUCGAAUCUUUGAACGCACAUUGCGCCCUUUGGUAUUCCAAAGGGCAUGCCUGUUCGAGCGUCAUUUGUACCCUCAAGCUUUGCUUGGUGUUGGGCGUCUUGUCUCUAGCUUUGCUGGAGACUCGCCUUAAAGUAAUUGGCAGCCGGCCUACUGGUUUCGGAGCGCAGCACAAGUCGCACUCUCUAUCAGCAAAGGUCUAGCAUCCAUUAAGCCUUUUUUUCAACUUUUGACCUCGGAUCAGGUAGGGAUACCCGCUGAACUUAAGCAUAUCAAUAAGCGGAGGA